UACGAAGGGUGCAAGCGUUGUUCGGAAUUACUGGGCGUAAAGCGCGCGUAGGCGGGUCUGUAAGUCGAUUGUGAAAUACCUGGGCUUAACCCGGGAAUGGCAGUCGAAACUGCAGAUCUUGAAUGUCUGAGAGGAUGGCGGAAUUCCCGGUGUAGUAGUGAAAUACGUAGAUAUCGGGAAGAACACCUGAGGCGAAGGCGGCUAUCUGGCGGUACAUUGACGCUGAUGCGCGAAAGCGUGGGGAGCAAACAGG
rnacentral:rRNA from 1 species